UCCUCUCCUCUCUUCUAUAUCUUUCUUGCUCACACCCACAUCGACGACAGUCACUGUCACCUCCUCAGAAACCCUAACCCACAUCGGCGACGACGACCUUUCCACCUCCAUCUCUCACUCUCAGUCACCUCUUUUGACCUCCAUGCCUAGAGAUGGCGUCUCAGUCUAUAGUCCUCAAGGUGGGUAUCAUGCCAAGAUUGUGUUGGUGCCGUGAAAAAGGUUCUUGGAAAACUUGAAGAUGGAAGAUUGUCUUGUUUCAAGUGGCAGUGUUCUCUUGGGGACAAAAUUGCUAACUUUCAGCUUAAAUUCGGUUCUAAGAGGAGAUGUCUUUGAAUUUUGCUAAUGUGUUAAAAUUCCCGACCAAGAGAAGAUGUAAAUUUUUUGUUUU